GUAGGUUAUGUAGUGUGUGUAUGGAAUAUAGUGAGGUAUGAGAAAGGAAUGUAGUGUCUGUGUGUGUAGGUUAUGUAGUUUGUGUAGGGAACACUGUGUGGUGUGGGAUAGGGGUGCAGUGUGUAGGUUAUGUAGUGUGUGUAUGGAAUAUAGUGAGGUAUGGGAAAGGAAUGUAGUGUGUGUGUGUGUAGGUUAUGUAGUGUGUGUAGGGAACACUGUGUGGUGUGGGAUAGGGAUGUACUGUGUAGGUUAUGUAGUGUGUGUAGGGAACACGGUGUGGUGUGGGAUAGGGAUGUAGUUUGUAUGUUUGUAGGUUAUGUAGAGUGUGUAAGGCACAUA